UACGAAGGGGGCUAGCGUUGCUCGGAAUUACUGGGCGUAAAGCGCCCGUAGGCGGAUUGUUAAGUCGGGGGUGAAAUCCUGGAGCUCAACUCCAGAACUGCCUUCGAAACUGGCGAUCUUGAGUUCGGGAGAGGUGAGUGGAACUGCGAGUGUAGAGGUGAAAGGCGUAGAGAUGCGGAAGAACACCAGUGGCGAAGGCGGCUCACUGGCCCGAUACUGACGCUGAGGUGCGAAAGCGGGGGGAGCAAACAGG
rnacentral:rRNA from 1 species